UACGAAAGGAGCAGGUGUUAUUCAGAUUAACUGGGCGUAAAGGGCACGUAGGUGGUUUGUUUAUGUGUAUUAUUAAAUUGUAAAGCAUAACUUUAUAACGUAUUACAGACAACAAAACUAGAGUUAGGUAGAGGGUAGUAGAAUUUCUAAUGUAAAGGUGAAAUUUGAUAAAAUUAGAGAGAAUACCAAUGGCGAAGGCAGAUCUCUGG
rnacentral:rRNA from 1 species